CAAAUCAGUCCAAUCAUUCGGAAUGCAUCCCGAUCUCUUCAGAUCUCGGAAGCUAAGCAAAUUCAAGCCCAGUUAGUACUUGGAUCGGAGCAUACCAGGGAAUGAGCGUUGCAGGCUGGG
rnacentral:rRNA from 1 species